rnacentral:rRNA from 1 species
GGGGAAUAUUGCGCAAUGGGCGAAAGCCUGACGCAGCCAUACCGCGUGUGUGAAGAAGGCCUUCGGGUUGUAAAGCACUUUCAGUGGGGAGGAAAAGCUGGUGGCUAAUAUCCAUAGGCCGUGACGCUACCCACAGAAGAAGCACCGGCUAAUUCCGUGCCAGCAGCCGCGGUAAUACGGAAGGUGCGAGCGUUAAUCGGAAUUACUGGGCGUAAAGCGCACGUAGGUGGCUUGGUAAGUCGGAUGUGAAAGCCCCGGGCUCAACCUGGGAACUGCAUUCGAUACUGCUGAGCUAGAGUACGAAAGAGGGGGGUGGAAUUCCAGGUGUAGCGGUGAAAUGCGUAGAGGUCUGGAGGAACACCAGUGGCGAAGGCGGCCCCCUGGUUCGAUACUGACGCUGAGGUGCGAAAGCGUGGGGAGCAAAC